rnacentral:rRNA from 1 species
GUACGAAAGACACUACGGUGUCAAAAGUGAUUUAUGUCAUACUUCCUAGAAAAACUUUAGUAAUGUGUAAUAAGAGACACCUGUACCUUAAACUGGCACAGGUAGGUUAGUAGAGAAUACUAAGGGGCGCGAGAUAACUCUUUCUAAGGAACUCGGCAAAAUAACUCUGUAACUUCGGGAGAAAGAGUGCCUCAUUUUAGAGGUCGCAGUGAUCAGAUCCAAGCGGCUGUUUACCAAAAACACAGGUCUCCGCUAAGUUGAAAAACUAUGUAUGGGGGCUGACGCCUGCCCAGUGCCAGAAGGUUAAAGAAAUUGGUUAGCAUUUGCGAAGCUGGUGACUGAAGCCCUGGUAAACGGCAGCUGUAACUAUAACAGUUCCAAGGUAGCGAAAUUCCUUGUCGGGUAAGUUCCGACCUGCACGAAAGGCGUAACGAUUUGGAUACUGUCUCGGAAAGAGACUCGGUGAAAUAGAAUUGACUGUGAAGAUGCGGUCUACUUGCACUUGGACAGAAAGACCCUAUGAAGCUUUACUGUAACCAGAAAUUGGUUUUGGACUUUCCUUGCGCAGUAUAGGUGGGAGGCUAUGAUCUUAUUUUUCGGAAGAAAGUGAGCCAUAAUAUGAGAUACCACUCUGGGAAAGUUAGGAAUCUAAUGGCAUUUUUUUAUCAAGAUACUUGACAGUUUCAGGCGGGCAGUUUUACUGGGGCGGUAGCCUCCUAAAAAGUAACGGAGGCGUACAAAGGUUUUCUCAAUCUGGACGGAAAUUAGUUGUAGAGUGUAAAGAUAUAAGAAAGCUUGACUGUGAGACUAACAAGUCGAGCAGAGACUAAAGUCGGUCUUAGUGAUCCGACGGUGCUGUGUGGAAAGGCCGUCGCUUAACGGAUAAGAGUUACUCUAGGGAUAACAGGCUGAUCUCCCCCAAGAGUUCACAUCGACGGGGAGGUUUGGCACCUCGAUGUCGGCUCAUCGCAACCUGGGGCGGUAGUACGUCCCAAGGGUUGGGCUGUUCGCCCAUUAAAGCGGUACGUGAGCUGGGUUCAGAACGUCGAGAGACAGUUCGGUCCAUAUCCGGUGUGAGUGUUAGAGUAUUGAAAGGAGCUUUCCUUAGUACGAGAGGACCGGGAAGGACACACCACUGGUGUACCAGUUUUUGUGCCAACAGAAGACGCUGGGUAGUCGAGUGUGGAGUGGAUAACUGCUGAAAGCAUAUAAGUGGGAAGCCCACCUUAAAAUGAGUACUCUUUUUUAGAUCACGAUUAGAUGAAUCGUUUUAUAGGCAUCGGGUGUAAGGUUGGUAACGAUUUUAGCUGAGAUGUACUAAUAGAUCGAAAGUUUU